rnacentral:rRNA from 1 species
AUUGAACGCUGGCGGCAGGCCUAACACAUGCAAGUAGAGCGGAGCGGCGGACGGGUGAGUAAUGCCUAGGAAUCUGCCUGGUAGUGGGGGAUAACGUCCGGAAACGGGCGCUCAUACCGCAUACUAUCAGAUGAGCCUCGGUCGGAUUAGCUAGUUGGUGGGGUAACGGCAUACCAAGGCGACGAUCCGUAACUGGUCUGAGAGGAUGAUCAGUCACCCUGGAACGUAGACAAGGUCCAGACUCCGACGGUAGGCAGCAGUGGGGAAUAUUGGACAAUGGGCGAAAGCCUGAUCCAGCCAUGCCGCGUGUGUGAAGAAGUUCUUCGGAUUUUAAAGCACUUUAAGUUGGGAGGCGUUACCAACAGAAUAAGCACCGGCUAACUUCGUGCCAGAAGCCGCGGUAAUAC